AGAGGCCCGCGCGCCAGCGGGCCUUCCGGGCGCUGCUUCCGUAUUGGCGGGCGGCGGCCAUGGAGGGCGAUCCUCCGCCGGUGGAGGAACGGCGGCGGCUGCGGGAGGAGCUGAGCGAGUUCGUGGAGAGCUGUUGGCGGACGCUGGAGGAGGUGACGACGUCUCUGGGCUGGACCCUGGACCGGCUGGUCCCCGGAGAGGAGGAGGCGGCGGCAGAGGAUGAAGUCGUGAUAUGUCCUUAUGAUUCCAACCAUCACAUGCCUAAGUCGUCUUUGGCAAAGCACAUGGAAUCUUGUAGAUUAAGAAAACUGGGCUAUACCAAAGAAGAAGAGGAUAAAAUGUAUAAUUCUGAUUUUUUCUAUGAGAAUGCAAAGGUACCUUCAGUUACUUUGAAUAAGGACUCACAGUACCAGAUAAUUAAACGAGCUAGAGCUGCAGUUGGAAAAGACGGUGAUUGUUAUAAUCAGAUAAUGGGGGUGAGUAUAAAGAGGAAUUAGGAAGCUGAAUGUACUCCUUAUUUAAAGAUAUGCAGUAUCCUUUUUGCAAAUGAUAUCCUUUUAAAAGUGUCACUCAAGGGUCCAAACUUUCUUUAUCACUGUCACUAUGUUACAGUCUUGAUUUGGAAUUUUAGUUGAAUUUCAAAGAAUUGAAGUUUCACUCUUCACUACACAGAAAUUUAAGGAAAGCAAGGAAAAACUCCAAGAUGUCUUAAGGAGAAAAUUAUACUUUGUUUAAAAAGAACAGGCAAAGGUUUAUGUGAAGCUUGUUGAUAAUACAUUAGUGUUUUCUCUUCUUUGUAUUUUUCUCCCAGCGUGUAUACAUAGCGUGUGUUCAAAUCAAUUAGGUUUAUCAAAGCUAACUCAUUUUUAUGUUGUAAAAUUUAAAUGCUUUAACAUCUGACUGCGUAAAAGGACUUUCCUAGUGUCUACCCGAAUUAGAGUGGGGUGGAUCGAAACGGGGGGAGCCCUUCUUCCCCCCUGAUCCAGGAGCCUCCUGCUAGCAAAGUGGCCGUGUCCUGUCAGCCUGGGACUCAGACUCACCAAAGCUCCUGAAUUUGUAGACAAAUACAAAGUCAUCUCUCUUUUUGUGUCUCAUGCUGAAGUUCCUCGUACGCUCUUACUGGAAUUUUUGUUUUGCCUCUGCCUAGGAUGUCGGUGAGGUUAGACUUACCAAAUAUAAGCAUCUGGAAAGUGCUACUGAUUUUCUCUUGUUCUGUGAGCCUGAGUUACUACUUUAGGGUAGCCUAGCAAACAUUAAAAGGAUUCCUUUAGUAGCUCAUGUUCUUUGUCUGCCCUGGAGAAUAAUGAAGUCUAGAAAGAAUCGUUUUGAAUUGCUUUAUUUACAGUUACAGUAAUUUUUUUACUUGAGAAAAUUUAAAUCUCAAAACAAAUUUUCUUCAGUGUUUAAUACAUCAUAUCAAGGUAUUGUAUUUUCUUUUUUUCAUUCAUGAGCAGAUUUUAGAAAGGGCCAUGCCUGUGGGGGGUGGGGUACUGUCGCUAACUUUUCUCAUUUAAUUUGAUGAAGCCAAUGUGUUUCCUCUUAGGAAAAUUAAAACAGCUUUAGUCUCAGUCUGUCUUUCUCUGCUCUGAGGAAGUUUGAGGUAUCUGCUACUUAAUUGUUUUCUGGUCCCUAGCUCCAAGCUAUUGCACAAGGGGGAUGUAUUUUGAAUAUGGAACAUCUAGUCUGAUGUCUCUCAUAAAAAAUAGUUUUUGUGCAUUUUUCAUAUUUCUGUAUUUUAUUUUUAAAGGGCCUGUAGUGUGUAUUACCUAUUCAAGGCAUUUUCUUCGUGCCUUUACGGGGAAAAGCGUAUAGAUGAAGAAGCUUACUCUCUACUUGGCAGUGCAGGUGGCCUUAUGAGCCGAUUGUCCCGUGGCUGUUCCUGCCUGCCUUCUGGGGAUCGGUCUUAACGCUGCUGGAGGGAAUAGCAGACGUCCCUGCCACGUCCUUUUUGCGGGUGUGGCACUCAGGCUAGAGUUCGGUGCUGACACCGUCACUCACACUGAUGGUUGUGGGUGUUUGGAGAUGACCGUGAAAACCAGUUGCCGGUGGUGGUGCUCGUUAGUACGGCGCAUGUUGGAAGGUCGUAGCGUAGAUCUUCACACCGCAGAGCUUCAUGUGUUGUUUAUUCUUGUGAUUUUAUUUUUACUUUAGGGGUUUAUUCUUCAUUGCCUGUUGAAGUUCCUCUGAAUCACAAACGGUUCGUUUGUGAUCUAACCCAAGCCGAUCGUCUUGCCCUCUACGACUUCGUGGUCGAGGAGACAAAGAAAAGGCGCUCCGAUUCUCAAAGCAUUGAAAAUGACAGCGACCUCUUUGUGGACCUGGCCGCCAAAGUCAAUCAAGAUAAUAGUCGAAAAAGUCCAAAAUCUUACCUUGAGAUCCUGGCGGAAGUGCGAGAUUAUAAAAGAAGACGCCAGUCCUAUAGAGCCAAGAACGUUCACAUAACCAAGAAGUCGUAUACUGAGGUGAUUCGGGACGUGAUCAGCGUGCACAUGGAGGAGCUGGCCGGCCACUGGCAGGAGGAGCAGCAGCGGGCGGAGGACGCCGCCGAGAAGGCCGAGGAGCGGCGCUCGGCGUCGGCAGACUCGCGGCAGUCGGGGGGCAGCUGCCUGGAUGCUGAGGGCGCCCGGCGCAGGAGGGCCCGGAGCAGGAGCCCGCACAAGCGGAGGAGAAACAAGGACAAGGAGAAGGACGGGGACUCGAGGCGGAGGAAGGAGAGGGACGGAGAAAGACAUCAUAGUCAUAAAAGAAGAAAACAGAAAAUGUAACGGAAGUAUUUGUGCUUGUAUUAAUUAUGCUUGUGCCACGGUAACCAAUAUGCUGAUAAUUUUAUUAUGAUUGCUUUGAGCAGGAGAAUGUGCUUAUAUGAACUGUUUAGUGCUGAGGUCAUUAUUUUUUCAGUAAAUACAUCGCAAACUGUAAAUACAUGAUCAUGCCCUAAAACUUUGUUUUUCCUUAUGUUUUAAUAGGUGAUUGCCUCCUACUACUGAUUUUGUUUCAUUAUUUUUGAUUAUUUAUAUAUCAGAAAAUUCUUUUUUUUUGGUCUUUUGUCUUUUUAGGGCCGCACCGACGGCAUAUGUAAGUUCCCUGGCUAGGGGUCUAAUCGGAGCUGUUGCUGCCGGCCUAUACCACACCACAGCCACGCACGAUCCAAGCUGUGUCUUUGACCUACACCACAGCUCACGGCAAUGCCGGAUCCUUAACCCACUGAGCGAAGCCAGGUAUUGAACCUGCAACCUCAUGGUUCCUAGUUGGUUUCGUUUCUGCUGCGCCUUGACGGGAACUCCCAGAAAAUUCUUUAAUUGAAGUCAAUACUUAAAACUAUGUAAAUAAUACGUAAAUGCGUUUUCAUUGUAAAAAAUGAAACCUUUCACUGAUAAGAUCAGGACCCCUCGGAGCACCCUUGGUGCUCCCUGUGGCCACCCCAGGUGUCCCUCCUACCUAGCACCCCACUGGUGACCUGUCGUAGGGAAAAAUAACCUAGUUAUCUGUCACAGGGGGAAAGGCCUGGCUAAAUAAAAUGUGGUGUAGUAUAUGAUAGACUGCUUUAUUGGAUUUAAAGAAAUAAACUUUAUAUAACAUGGAUGGAUCUCAGAAAUAUGCUAAAUGAAAAUAGCAAGUUUCAGAAACAUCCGUCCAAGUCGCAUCUCUGCCCCAAACAAUACGUCUUCCGUGGCUGUAGCUGUGUGUGAAGAUGCUGGCAAAGGUUCAGAGGCGCUCUUCCCAAGCUACAGAUGGAGAGAUGAAGGGUGGGGGCCAAGACUGGGAGGGCGUCAGAAGAGCUUUCCCUUAAUCCGCAGUAUAUUAAUUUUUAAAACGUAAGGCGAUGUAUGUGUCACUUGUUAAUUAAAAAUAUGUUGUUGUUUUUUAUACGUCACUUUUAUUGAGAUGCUGUUUAUAUACAAUAAAAUGGUUUCAUCGUCAUCGUUGUCAUCAUUAUUUUUGGCUGUGCCACAGCAUGUGGACGUCGUCGUGCCCCGUCCUCCCCCCGACCCCCGGCCACACAGUGACGAUGCCAGGUCCUUAGCCUGCUCAGCCACUAGGGAGCUCCAGAAUUUGACUUCUUUAGAGGAGAAGUAGAACUUGGACCCAAGGAGACAAAAUGAUAGUUUUAUUAAAUUACGACCUUUAGCAAGAGUAGAUAUAUUUCCCAUAACUUUUUUGCCAGGUUAGAAUGUGGCUGUUUACACAAGGCAGGUGGUUUUGUGGGGUUCAUGAGAAAAGUCUCUGCCUCUUUGGAGACUUCAUUUUAUUAGAGGUGGUCACUGAGAUUUUUAGGCAGGCUGUAGAGAGAGGGGAGUCUGAGCGGGGUAGGGCCAUAUGGGACUCUGUAUCUUCCUCUCAGUUUUGCUGUGAACCUAAAACUGUUCCAAAAAAAGGGGGAAAUGAAGUCUAAAAAAUAGUAAAAGUGGCUUUGUUUGGCAGAGAAAAAUUAAGAUUUGGAAUUUUCAAAACAUUCUCGGAGGUCAGAGAUUUCAGGGUAGUAUGUAAACAUCCAUGGAACAAUUUGCUAGGUUUUCCUGACUUCUUUUGGGAAACUGGUGAGUUGGCUUCUCUCCUGAACGGAACGGCCGCCCCUGCCUGGCCCUUCGGUCUCCGCGGAGACAGGUGACCAAGACCGUGCCCGGGAGCCUCUGCCUGGUGUGCGUGAGGAAAGGGGGUUGACGGAAGCAGAGUCCGACGCUUCCCCCCGAACAGGACAGACAAGCCUGCCGUGGAGGUGGUGGCGGCUCCUGGGAGGGCUGUGGAUGUGUCACCCACGGCUCUUUUACCCGGGAGCUGCAGUGACAAGGUCAGAACUUCGCGUGUCCUCUCGGUUUGGCUAAGAUUCUCCAGCUGUGGGAAUGUUCCGAGGGCCAUGUUGGAGCAACUCGGAGACACGGGUCUAGACUGCUUCCCACUCACCAGGCAUUUGCGUGGGGUCUUAGGUCAGUUCCCUGGAGGCCCAGGACGUUGCGGGGAGCAUCUGUGAAGGUGGGAGGGAAGCAGGACAGGCCUUCGCGGACCCUGGGGGGGUGGGGAUUCUGGAACUGGGAGGUCUUGCUUGAUACCCCCACACUGGCUGUUCAAUGGAUGCGAGCUCCCCUCCACCUCCGUGGGCUCUAACCUAGGGCAGGGGUGGCCCUGUGACCAAGGGCAGUUGGCUGCAGUGUCUCAGAGGGAAGCUGGCGUCAGGCACCCUCUUGGGGAAAAGCACCCAACUCUGAAGGGAGCCCUGGGUGGCACAGCGCAGGGAGCACCACGGUCUGUAAUCUCAUCCCCUCGCCAGCCUGUGGGCGGGGCCAGCUUGUCCAUCCACCCCAACGGGAGAGAUUGCGCAGCUCCGCCAGAUCAGCUGCAAAGGAUUCGGGUCUAAUCCCACACCAAGACCCAGCCCCUAGGCACCGAGCCUCACUGCCAGCACCUGGGUGGUGGGUGCCGCUCCGGCAACCUGUGGUUUCCAGCCAUAGUAAGGAUUUUUCUAUUGGAAUGAAGAAAAAAAAAAAACCAAUUCGUGCAGCUGAUGAUGACACCGACACCGGGACCGAGCCUGGAAGAGCAAAACUUGAUUCAAUGGCCGAGGAAUUGGAGGAGCAGGAACUUGGUUCACAAAUGGACAUCUCACCCCAGUUCAGCUGGAGAUUUGUGGUCAUAAAGGAAAACGAGAAACAGGAUCCUAUCAUAAUUGUCGGCCACGACUCUUAUGUGUUUUUGUUGGCAUUUAAUUAAAGUUGAGUGACUCAGCUGAAUGUAA